GUUACAUCUACCUAGGAGCAAAUUUGAUUGAAUAAAUCCUCAAACAUUCUAUUAUUUCCUCUGUUAUUGCUAAUACAAUAUUGCCAACAAUCCAAUUGCCUUACAAGAGUAAAAGAAGGCCUCAGCAUUAUACAACAACAACAACCAGCAAGUGUGCUAAUUAAUGAUACAGAUGCAAAUCAGAUCUAGAAACACUAUCCACUGGCAUUAUCAGCAGAAAGAUCAUUCUCAUCAUCAUCACCCUGCCGAAUUUUAGCUAUUUCAGCCUGUGCUCUCUCCAUUAUCUGUCUUUUCUGCAUUUCUAAAUCCCUAUGGAAAUCCAUCCUCAUCUUCUCUAGUUCCAACAUCUGCUGCCUUUUAUUAUUCUCGAUCUUCUCAUAUAUCUCACUAAAUUUCUGAAUAGAAUCUGCAAGCAAGCUAAAUGAGGACCCUUCAUCGCGGUCCCUUCCAAACUUUCUUUUCUUGGGCGGAAGUCCAUCUGAGUCAUCCUCUACCUCAUCAGCUGCUUCCGAAUUGCCUGGACUGUCCCUCAUCUCAUCCAACCCAUUCGCACGGUUUAGAUAUACNNNNNNNNNNNNNAAACAUACUCUCCUGAGUCCACCCCACAUGAAAGCCCGCCUUGCUGUGCAGAUGUUGACAU
rnacentral:misc_RNA from 1 species